rnacentral:rRNA from 1 species
CCUACGGGAGGCUGCAGUGAGGAAUUUUGGUCAAUGGGCGCUAGCCUGAACCAGCCAAGUAGCGUGAAGGAUGACUGCCCUAUGGGUUGUAAACUUCUUUUAUAUGGGAAUAAAGUGCAGUAUGUAUACUGCUUUGCAUGUACCCUAUGAAUAAGGAUCGGCUAACUCCGUGCCAGCAGCCGCGGUAAUACGGAGGAUCCGAGCGUUCUCCGGAGUUAUUGGGUUUAAAGGGAGCGUAGGUGGGUUGCUAAGUCAGUUGUGAAAGUUUGCGGCUCAACCGUAAAAUUGCAGUUGAUACUGGCAGCCUUGAGUACAGUAGAGGUAGGCGGAAUUCGUGGUGUAGCGGUGAAAUGCUUAGAUAUCACGAAGAACUCCGAUUGCGAAGGCAGCCUGCUGGACUGUAACUGACGCUGAUGCUCGAAAGUGUGGGUAUCAAACAGGAUUAGAUACCCGUGUAGUC